UGUUUCGGCUAGGGGGCCAUCCCGGCUUACCAACCCGAUGCAAACUGCGAAUACCGGAGAAUGUUAUCACGGGAGACACACGGCGGGUGCUAACGUCCGUCGUGAAGAGGGAAACAACCCAGACCGCCAGCUAAGGUCCCAAAGUCAUGGUUAAGUGGGAAACGAUGUGGGAAGGCCCAGACAGCCAGGAUGUUGGCUUAGAAGCAGCCAUCAUUUAAAGAAAGCGUAAUAGCUCACUGGUCGAGUCGGCCUGCGCGGAAGAUGUAACGGGGCUAAACCAUGCACCGAAGCUGCGGCAGCGACGCUGAUGCGUUGUUGGGUAGGGGAGCGUUCUGUAAGCCUGUGAAGGUGGCCUGUGAGGGUUGCUGGAGGUAUCAGAAGUGCGAAUGCUGACAUAAGUAACGAUAAAGCGGGUGAAAAGCCCGCUCGCCGGAAGACCAAGGGUUCCUGUCCAACGUUAAUCGGGGCAGGGUGAGUCGACCCCUAAGGCGAGGCCGAAAGGCGUAGUCGAUGGGAAACGGGUUAAUAUUCCCGUACUUGGUGUUACUGCGAAGGGGGGACGGAGAAGGCUAUGUUGGCCGGGCGACGGUUGUCCCGGUUUAAGCGUGUAGGUGUGUGUUCCAGGUAAAUCCGGUUCACUUUAACACUGAGGCGUGAUGACGAGGCACUACGGUGCUGAAGCAACAAAUGCCCUGCUUCCAGGAAAAGCCUCUAAGCAUCAGGUAACAUCAAAUCGUACCCCAAACCGACACAGGUGGUCAGGUAGAGAAUACCAAGGCGCUUGAGAGAACUCGGGUGAAGGAACUAGGCAAAAUGGUGCCGUAACUUCGGGAGAAGGCACGCUGACACGUAGGUGAAGUGAUUUACUCAUGGAGCUGAAGUCAGUCGAAGAUACCAGCUGGCUGCAACUGUUUAUUAAAAACACAGCACUGUGCAAACACGAAAGUGGACGUAUACGGUGUGACGCCUGCCCGGUGCCGGAAGGUUAAUUGAUGGGGUCAGCGCAAGCGAAGCUCCUGAUCGAAGCCCCGGUAAACGGCGGCCGUAACUAUAACGGUCCUAAGGUAGCGAAAUUCCUUGUCGGGUAAGUUCCGACCUGCACGAAUGGCGUAAUGAUGGCCAGGCUGUCUCCACCCGAGACUCAGUGAAAUUGAACUCGCUGUGAAGAUGCAGUGUACCCGCGGCAAGACGGAAAGACCCCGUGAACCUUUACUAUAGCUUGACACUGAACAUUGAGCCUUGAUGUGUAGGAUAGGUGGGAGGCUUUGAAGUGUGGACGCCAGUCUGCAUGGAGCCGGCCUUGAAAUACCACCCUUUAAUGUUUGAUGUUCUAACGUGGACCCGUGAUCCGGGUUGCGGACAGUGUCUGGUGGGUAGUUUGACUGGGGCGGUCUCCUCCUAAAGAGUAACGGAGGAGCACGAAGGUUGGCUAAUCCUGGUCGGACAUCAGGAGGUUAGUGCAAUGGCAUAAGCCAGCUUGACUGCGAGCGUGACGGCGCGAGCAGGUGCGAAAGCAGGUCAUAGUGAUCCGGUGGUUCUGAAUGGAAGGGCCAUCGCUCAACGGAUAAAAGGUACUCCGGGGAUAACAGGCUGAUACCGCCCAAGAGUUCAUAUCGACGGCGGUGUUUGGCACCUCGAUGUCGGCUCAUCACAUCCUGGGGCUGAAGUAGGUCCCAAGGGUAUGGCUGUUCGCCAUUUAAAGUGGUACGCGAGCUGGGUUUAGAACGUCGUGAGACAGUUCGGUCCCUAUCUGCCGUGGGCGCUGGAGAACUGAGGGGGGCUGCUCCUAGUACGAGAGGACCGGAGUGGACGCAUCACUGGUGUUCGGGUUGUCAUGCCAAUGGCACUGCCCGGUAGCUAAAUGCGGAAGAGAUAAGUGCUGAAAGCAUCUAAGCACGAAACUUGCCCCGAGAUGAGUUCUCCCUGAGACUUUAGGUCUCCUGAAGGAACGUUGAAGACGACGACGUUGAUAGGCCGGGUGUGUAAGCGCAGCGAUGCGUUGAGCUAACCGGUACUAAUGAACCGUGAGGCUUAACCUUACA
rnacentral:rRNA from 1 species